AUAUGCUUCCAUGGACUAUACAUACACUUUCAUAGCUUCUGGAGAAGAGAUAACAACAAGGUGUUUCUUCAUCAAUGAUUUGUGAAGCAAUGUUCUUCAAGGAGGAAGUAAUUUGUUCAUCAAGGAUCUUGUUGACUUUGUUCAUGAAUUUAGGCAUCAAUUGUGCUUUUCACACCCCCUCCCCACACGCACAAAUGUAUAAUCAACUUCAAAUGUACUGAUUAAUUUUAGUUUUUUUAUUUUAUAUUUUAUUAGGAUGUUAUUAUAUUGUGCUUAGUAGUAUACUAGUAUACAUUAAUAGAUAAUAAAUCAAUGAUUAAUUUUGAAAGGAAAUAUUAAAGAGUCCCUUUUACUACUUAACAUUUUUGAUUUGCCUUGUUUUCUUCAUAAGCACAUGGAUUUGGAAGAGACAGCAACGUCAAUGGUAAAUCUGAUUCAGAAUGGUAGCAAAAGGGGUCAGCAAGCAUAUAUAUAUAUAGCUAGGUAGCUAGUGACAUAGGGGAACACGAAUGACAUAAACACAGUGAUCAGAUCAGUGCUUAUCUAGCAGCAGCACUGCUUUUUCUUUAUCAUCAAAUCAUCACCAUAGUCGAUAAUUACAUCUUCAUUACUUGCACGCAAAUGUAUAGUUUUCAAAUAUCAAUGCAACUCAUGUAUCUAAAUCAAACUCUAUAAAGUCAUAAUAAUUCUUACACUCUUGAAUUAUGGCAUCAUCAAUUGUCAUGAAUGAGUUAUAAUUGUUUUAAAAUUUAAAGUAUAUGGUAAACCCUCACAUUGGCUUGAACCACCUGAGUGACUCACCCAUUAACAAUUUAUGCAUUGAUGCCGAAAAUCAAUCUUUGAAUACUGUAUAAUGCAAUUGAUUGAUGCUCCCUUGAUGUGUUUUUGAAUUUAUUUAUACAAAAACUAAGUAACCUAUUGCAUUAGUAAUGGUGGAGAGCAAGAUAUCUCUAACUUGAGGGCUCAGUUGGGAGAGAAGUAUUGAGGACCAAUCCUACAAAAAAUCAUGAUUAUUUUGAAAUUGAAAUUGAAAUUCUUGACAUAUUGAUUAAACCCUUCAAAUAAAAUUUUAAUAUUUCGUUCGUAACGAAUAUAAGCAACAAAAUACAUUUUUCUAAAAUAAACAAAACGGUAUUAAUGCGAGUACGAUGGGUACUUAAACCCACUACAUAGUUAUGAAGAAAACAAGACUUCGAGUUAAUCCGACACCGGAUGAUAAAUAAGAAGCCCCAAUUUUUUAUUUAUUUUUGCCAAUAGUCAUUGCCAAGACUUGCUUUCGAUCGAAUGAACUACCUCAUUGAC
rnacentral:lncRNA from 1 species